rnacentral:lncRNA from 1 species
CUUGCCAAUAAUAGUCAACUUCUCAACUAGAAGUAAUAUCAUAGUAUUAUUCUCACAUCGAAUUUGAACUUACGAUUCACUUGAAUAACCAAUGAUCAAAUUAAUAACCAUAAUGCACAAUAAAAUUUUAUGUCAAUUCUUUUGUAAUUACUUUCAAUCAAAAUCUAACUAAUCAUAUCAUGAUCAAUAGAUCAUCCAUCAUAUUUCAAAUUCUAUAUGUCAUAAUCUCUUGCGAUCCUUUCAUACAUAAUCUUAGUAUUUAACCAAAAGUUCAUAAAGAUUUUUCCCACUACAAUCAUCAAAGAUCUACACCAUAAUAUCCUUAGUGUCUAUCUACUAACACUCCUUCUAUACACAUCUUAGUUCAUCUACUAACGCUCUGAUACCAUAUUAAUUGUCACGCCCCCGACCCA